GGAGAGAUGGCUCAGUGGUUUAAGAGCACUGACUACUCUUCCAGAGGUCCGGAGUUCAAUUCCCAGCAACCACA
rnacentral:tRNA from 1 species